AUUGAACGCUGGCGGCAGGCCUAACACAUGCAAGUCGAGCGGAUGAAGGGAGCUUGCUCCUGGAUUCAGCGGCGGACGGGUGAGUAAUGCCUAGGAAUCUGCCUGGUAGUGGGGGAUAACGUCCGGAAACGGGCGCUAAUACCGCAUACGUCCUGAGGGAGAAAGUGGGGGAUCUUCGGACCUCACGCUAUCAGAUGAGCCUAGGUCGGAUUAGCUAGUUGGUGGGGUAAAGGCCUACCAAGGCGACGAUCCGUAACUGGUCUGAGAGGAUGACCAGUCACACUGGAACUGAAACACGGUCCAGACUCCUACGGGAGGCAGCAGUGGGGAAUAUUGGACAAUGGGCGAAAACCUGAUCCAGCCAUGCCGCGUGUGUGAAAAAGGUCUUCGGAUUGUAAAGCACUUUAAGUUGGGAGGAAGGGCAGUAAGUUAAUACCUUGCUGUUUUGACGUUACCAACAGAAUAAGCACCGGCUAACUUCGUG
rnacentral:rRNA from 1 species